GUCGAGCUAAGCAACGAGAGCUUGCGACCCGAGUGGGGACAAUAAGAUGGUGGAACACUGGUUUGGUCCACGGGUCGGGUCUGGUUGGCAAGUUUCUGAGCAGCCCAGUCCAAGCUGAGAGUUAUCUGUCUGGUUUGAGCGAAGGCUCGAAUCAGGUGGGUGCUAAAGUCGGAGGGUAAUGCGUCAGGCUGGUUUCACAGAGCAGCGACUACUUCCCGCUCUCUGCAGUGGACGGAUAACGGCUCGGCGCCACUCAGACCUGCUAUGGCCUGCUGGUUCGUUCUCAGCUGAACCACCAAUUUU
rnacentral:SRP_RNA from 2 species